CGGGCCCCUUCCACGAGUGAGGACACAGGAGGAGCUGGUGACCCGAAGGAGGGCCCCCACCUGACCGUGCUGGCUCCCAGGUUUCAGACUCGCAGCUUCCGGAACUGUCAGGAGAUUAGCUGCAAUGGCCAGUGUCAUGUGAAUUCAUCUAGGGGCACAAGAAAUCUCUCUUCAUGGCAAUGGCAACAGCAUAUGACUUCUUUAGGGACAAGAUGGCUCUGGGCAUGAGUCACGGCCGUACGAUGGGAAGAUUCCGAUGGGAACCUUGCUCUUGCUGGUUGAUCCAUACCUUACAUGGACUUGAGGCCGUGCAUGGCUUUUAUUAAUAUGUGCAUUUUGCUUGUUAAGGCUCAACUUCAUCUUUUCCUUCCGAACUGGAGCCCUGUUUGUAUUUCACAUGCACCUGAUUCAAAAUCUAUCCUUG